GCUCACUCUCGGCUGUGAUUCUCUUCAUUUUACUCCUCGUUGCUUCCUGUUGGAUAAGUCUAAGGUGUAGAAAGGGCAACAGUCCAGGCAAAAAAUGUGAGGAAGUAAGUGUCCACCUACAUCUUCAAGAAGACAAGAUCUCUGUUUGUGCUCUGUCUCUGCAACCAACUCAGGAAAAUACCAGAUGUCCUUCUGGACCCAGUCCAAAUAUGAACAGUGCCAGUCAGAAGUUGAUCGGAAAAGAACAGAUGAGUUCUACAUCUUACAAUGGCUGACAGAAAAGCAGACUUGCAUUGCAAGGAAAUGGCCAGGAGGACCCUCUCUAGUGUUGUGUGCAGAAAGUACCUUCUUCUAGGAGAUCAUGGGUGCAUCCCAGUGCUCAGAAAAAAGAGUUCCAGCAAAUUUCCUA